GUGGGGAAUCUUGCGCAAUGGGCGAAAGCCUGACGCAGCCAUGCCGCGUGAAUGAUGAAGGUCUUAGGAUUGUAAAAUUCUUUCACCGGGGACGAUAAUGAUGGUACCCGGAGAAGAAGCUCCGGCUAACUUCGUGCCAGCAGCCGCGGUAAUACGAAGGGGGCUAGCAUUGCUCGGAAUUACUGGGCGUAAAGGGCGCGUAGGCGGACAGCUUAGUCAGAGGUGAAAGCCCAGGGCUCAACCUUGGAAUUGCCUUUGAUACUGGCUGUCUUGAGUUUGGGAGAGGUGAGUGGAACUCCGAGUGUAGAGGUGAAAUUCGUAGAUAUUCGGAAGAACACCAGUGGCGAAGGCGACUCACUGGCCCAAUACUGACGCCGAGGCGCGAAAGCGUGGGGAGCAAACAGGAUUAGAAACCCCUGUAGUCC
rnacentral:rRNA from 1 species